UGCUUAUGAGGAUCGAUUUGCUCUGAGGGUGUGUGACAGGCUGCGUUAUGUGUUUUAGGAUAAACGAUAAUGAGGGAGUGGCAGAGAUGUUAAUUGACUCCCUGGGUGCAAAUAUUGUGAAUGCAACGGACUCCAAGGGCAGGACUCCUCUUCAUGCUGCAGCUUUUCUGACCAUGUGGAGUGCGUUUCCCUUCUUCUGAGCCAUGGAGCUCAGGCAAAUGUUGUUGACACCCACAUGCACAGAACACCACUGAUGAUGGUAGCUCUAAAUGGACAGACCAAUGCUGUGGAGGUGAUGGUGAGCGGUGCUAAGGCAGACUUGGCACUGCAAGAUGCAGACAGGAACACAGCAUUGCAUUUGGCUUGCAGCAAGGGUCACGAGACAAGUGCCUUGUUGAUUCUGGAGAAAAUCAGCGACAGGAAUCUCAUUAACUGCACCAACGCUGCUCUGCAGACG